rnacentral:rRNA from 1 species
AUUGAACGCUGGCGGCAGGCCUAACACAUGCAAGUCGAGCGGAUGAAGGGAGCUUGCUCCUGGAUUCAGCGGCGGACGGGUGAGUAAUGCCUAGGAGUCUGCCUGGUAGUGGGGGAUAACGUCCGGAAACGGGCGCUAAUACCGCAUACGUCCUGAGGGAGAAAGUGGGGGAUCUUCGGACCUCACGCUAUCAGAUGAGCCUAGGUCGGAUUAGCUAGUUGGUGGGGUAAAGGCCUACCAAGGCGACGAUCCGUAACUGGUCUGAGAGGAUGAUCAGUCACACUGGAACUGAGACACGGUCCAGACUCCUAAGGGAGGCAGCAGUGGGGAAUAUUGGACAAUGGGCGAAAGCCUGAUCCAGCCAUGCCGCGUGUGUGAAGAAGGUCUUCGGAUUGUAAAGCACUUUAAGUUGGGAGGAAGGGCAGUAAGUUAAUACCUUGCUGUUUUGACGUUACCAACAGAAUAAGCACCGGCUAACUUCGUG